rnacentral:rRNA from 1 species
CGGUGCCGCGUGCCGGAUGAAGGCCUUCGGGUGGUAAACUGCUUUUGUACGGAACGAAAAGGUCUUCUCUAAUACAGGGGGCGCAUGACGGUACCGUAAGAAUAAGCACCGGCUAACUACGUGCCAGCAGCCGCGGUAAUACGUAGGGUGCAAGCGUUAAUCGGAAUUACUGGGCGUAAAGCGUGCGCAGGCGGUUAUAUAAGACAGAUGUGAAAUCCCCGGGCUCAACCUGGGAACUGCAUUAGUGACUGUAUAGCUAGAGUGCGGCAGAGGGGGAUGGAAUUCCGCGUGUAGCAGUGAAAUGCGUAGAUAUGCGGAGGAACACCGAUGGCGAAGGCAAUCCCCUGGGCCUGUACUGACGCUCAUGCACGAAAGCGUGGGGAGCAAACAGGAUUAGAUACCCUGGUAGUCCACGCCCUAAACGAUGUCAACUGGUUGUUGGGUCUUCACUGACUCAGUAACGAAGCUAACGCGUGAAGUUGACCGCCUGGGGAGUACGGCCGCAAGGUUGAAACUCAAA